AAAUAAUGGUUUAAUCAUUAUAUCCGAAAUACAUUAACUAUAAUUUAUAGUAGUGUUUACAUUGCAAACUAGGCAUGGCCUGAUUCUUACUUUGACCUACAUUAUGGUAGUGUAAACACUGCCUCGUCCCCAGUCGCUUGCUAUCAAAUAAUUAAUUAGGAAAAGACGAAAAUUAAUGGGGGCGCGCGGGACGAUGGGCUCGUCCUUAGUUGCGGGCGUGCGCCUAAAGGCGUGCGUCUUUAUCGGGCUUGCAGUGCACGCGCUGAUCUAUAUAUUACCGAUAUUUAAAUUUGAUCUAUAUAGAGGAGCCUGCGGAGGAGGCAGGUGUAAACAAACAUUAGCCUACCCUAGACCUGAUCUUGAUCAGAAAAUCUGGACUCACAAAUUGGCACUGCGACACUGGGAUUGUCGGCCUUGGCCUGCCUAUUAAAAUCAAAGACAUUCGAAGGAACGAAUCUCUAUCAUUCCUUUGAAUGCCUAUGCUUCACAAACUAUGUUUCACAAUCACCUCGAGUUCUUCAAGUGGUGUGCAGCAGAUGGUGGUCAAAGUCAGAAAUGUCGACAGUGACAGGAGCAAGGAAAAGAAACUAAAUCUCUCUUUUACUUAUUUUGUCAUCAAACAGAACAGUCUAGACCUCUAGAUCAAUACAAAUAUAACGACAAGAUUUGACAUUAUUUUCUCACUCUGAUAUAACUUCAGGUUGCCCACCAUCUGCUGCACGAUAGUGAUUAGUAAAACACACCAAUAUUAGGCAAGGGAGAAUCAAUAUGUCUGCAAGAAUGUUCCAAAUUAUUUGUUCCAAACUUUAAAAUUGCUACACCAUAACAUCACAGCAGGAUGCAAGUGCUUUUUGUGCAUAUCUGAGAAUAAAAAAAAUUGUGAAAAUAAAAUCUUUGACUUGACUAAACUUCCUGCUCAAAAAAUACUUUGAAUAUGAAUAGGCAGACACACAUUACUUUCCAUUAUGUGUUAGCUGAAGUCUUUAAGCGUUC